rnacentral:rRNA from 1 species
CCAAGAAGUCCAACAUGUGCGCGAGUCAUUGGGUCCUACGAAACCUAAAGGCGCAAUGAAGGUGAAGGCAGGUUCGGCCUGCUGAGGUGAGAUCCCGGCCCUCGGGCCGGGCGCAUCACCGGCCCGUCUGCAAAGGCGGAGCAAGAGCGCACACGUUGGGACCCGAAAGAUGGUGAACUAUGCCUGAGCAGGAUGAAGCCAGAGGAAACUCUGGUGGAAGUCCGUAGCGAUUCUGACGUGCAAAUCGAUCGUCGAACUUGGGUAUAGGGGCGAAAGACUAAUCGAACCAUCUAGUAGCUGGUUCCCUCCGAAGUUUCCCUCAGGAUAGCUGGCGCUCGUAACAGUUUUAUCCGGUAAAGCGAAUGAUUAGAGGCCUUGGGGACGAAACGUCCUCAACCUAUUCUCAAACUUUAAAUGGGUAAGGAGUCGGACUCGCUUAAUUGGAGUCCGGACUGGAAUGUGAGUGCCAAGUGGGCCACUUUUGGUAAGCAGAAUGG